UGCGCCUGUGAUGGAUGAAGCAUAUCCUAUUUAUGGCUUUGCAGGUGGUCUGGAUAUGUUCAGUCUGGUGAAUGAAGCACGCUUUCAUUCUUUCAAAGCAUU
rnacentral:sRNA from 1 species